UUUUUUCCACCAGAAGUGGCAACAGCCAACACCUCACACAAAAGGAAGAUUACCGAUACAGAUUCUUCACCUACAUUCUAGCAAAUCGUCAAUCAAAAGUCGCGCAGUUGUUAUUGUGACAACUCUUUAUUCCCGUUCGUAUUUGAGGUUACAAAUUACGUAUAAAACAAAAUUUUCCCUAAAUAUUUGGGUAAUAUUAUAAGGAAAAACGAUGUUAUAUUUAUUAAUAAUAUGAUAUAUUAAGCUAUUAUCACGUUAACAGUCAUACUGAGCUGACAAAUUUUGUGUCCUUCAAACCUGCAAAAAGGGCUAAAGAUGGACGUAUUGACAGUUGAAGCAAAGAACCUAUAUGUUGCGUCUUUUCAAAUAGCCUUCAAUAUUAUGAUAAUAGCUAAAAGUGGCGCAGAUAUUUAUCAGUAUUCAAAGUUCUAUCAACAUGCAAAUAGCGUAGGCCCUGGAUAUUAUCAUGAUCCAUCACAUUUAGAAAAAUUGAAUAGUAAAAUUAAUGUCAUUUACGCGGUCAAAGGUGUUCUUAUAGGCCUAACAGUGACAUAUCUUGUUUUUAAUGUGAUUUUGCUUAUUGGAUUAUGUAGGAAAAAGCGAACGUUGAUCAAAAUCUAUUUGUUUGCGGCACCAGCUUUUAUCAUUUCCCGUACGGCGUUGUAUGCAUUUGAACUCGUACUUAGUGCAAACGAUGCACUUGUUCAAAUGUUGAAUAUGAACUCAGCAUACAUCAUUCUGAUCAUUAUCUUUGUAUUACUCGACAUUAUGUUUUGUUUCAUCCAUGCCGUAGCAUAUUAUAAUACAUUGGAAAAUCACGAGAAUAUGCCACUUGGUAUCCACUAAUACAAAUUUUUAGAAUAAAUAAAUAUACAAAA